CAUCAUCUUGUGAUGUGGCCUUUUGAAAAUCAUCCAAAAUUGAUGAUGAAAUAAGAAAAUUGAACUGUAGAAGAGUGUUAAGUGGUGAAGUAAGGUACAAGGAAAUCUCUACAGCAGAAAAAAGAUUCGGGCGGUCGAUUAAAUAGUUGAUUUAUUAACUCCCUCGUCAUUCAUGAACAUAGGGUGUGCUACGCGAGUUUGUCGUCAAGAAAAUAUUGGUUCAAUAUUGCAAUUGAACGUUAUUUUUCAUGCAAUUGUAAUCAAAUCGUGUUUUGUCGAUAAUUAGUGAAGUACAGACAGGCUGACGCAGGUAUUAUAAGGAAUUCAGUUAUCGUUUAACUGUUUUUGGUGCACGAUUUCCGAUGUCCAGAAGUGAUUCCCGGAACCGUUUCCGACGAACUAUUGCUGAAAGUGAGAGGCUGGUUGCUGAACAUAAUGCGUGUCAUUCGUUGCCUGCUUGCUGUUCCUGCCAUUCCUAGCCUCCAUGUGCCACCGUCGGGGGCUUUCCAUUGGCGUUCCCAGUAUUGUCGCACCGCCACCAAACCGGAUCGCGCCAGUGAGACUCGCGACGCGCCUCAACUCGCGCGAUUUUGAAAUCAGUUUUUUUAGUGUGGCGCUGCAUUCUUACGAUUUUUAUGAACAUAGCGCACUAUUCACAUAUUUGCUGCGACGCACGGGGCCCGAGAAAACAAUAAUUAUAAAUAAAUGUUGGUCUUGAUUUCUACCGGAUACAUAAUACAUUGCUGCCGAUCCCGAUAAGUUUGAUGCUGCAGGUGUACUCACCCGAUCCAAAUUGUUUCCUAUGCUGAUGUCAUCAUUCCCUGCACCCCACGCGGUUGGGUUUUCAAGCAAUUUUUUACUAUUUUAUUUUUUAUGAAUUGAAAUAUAACAAAUAAAUGUUUGUAUCAUUCAA